rnacentral:rRNA from 1 species
GAUGAACGCUGGCGGCGUGCCUAAUACAUGCAAGUCGAGCGAACGGACGAGAAGCUUGCUUCUCUGAUGUUAGCGGCGGACGGGUGAGUAACACGUGGAUAACCUACCUAUAAGACUGGGAUAACUUCGGGAAACCGGAGCUAAUACCGGAUGAUAUUUUGAACCGCAUGGUUCAAAAGUGAAAGACGGUCUUGCUGUCACUUAUAGAUGGAUCCGCGCUGCAUUAGCUAGUUGGUAAGGUAACGGCUUACCAAGGCAACGAUGCAUAGCCGACCUGAGAGGGUGAUCGGCCACACUGGAACUGAGACACGGUCCAGACUCCUACGGGAGGCAGCAGUAGGGAAUCUUCCGCAAUGGGCGAAAGCCUGACGGAGCAACGCCGCGUGAGUGAUGAAGGUCUGCGGAUCGUAAAACUCUGUUAUUAGGGAAGAACAUAUGUGUAAGUAACUGUGCACAUCUUGACGGUACCUAAUCAGAAAGCCACGGCUAACUACGU